GAAGGUGUGCUGUGAGGCAUGCUGGAGGUAUCAGAAGUGCGAAUGCUGACAUAAGUAACGAUAAAGCGGGUGAAAAGCCCGCUCGCCGGAAGACCAAGGGUUCCUGUCCAACGUUAAUCGGGGCAGGGUGAGUCGACCCCUAAGGCGAGGCCGAAAGGCGUAGUCGAUGGGAAACAGGUUAAUAUUCCUGUACUUGGUGUUACUGCGAAGGGGGGACGGAGAAGGCUAUGUUGGCCGGGCGACGGUUGUCCCGGUUUAAGCGUGUAGGCUGGUUUUCCAGGCAAAUCCGGAAAAUCAAGGCUGAGGCGUGAUGACGAGGCACUACGGUGCUGAAGCAACAAAUGCCCUGCUUCCAGGAAAAGCCUCUAAGCAUCAGGUAACAUCAAAUCGUACCCCAAACCGACACAGGUGGUCAGGUAGAGAAUACCAAGGCGCUUGAGAGAACUCGGGUGAAGGAACUAGGCAAAAUGGUGCCGUAACUUCGGGAGAAGGCACGCUGAUAUGUAGGUGAAGUCCCUCGCGGAUGGAGCUGAAAUCAGUCGAAGAUACCAGCUGGCUGCAACUGUUUAUUAAAAACACAGCACUGUGCAAACACGAAAGUGGACGUAUACGGUGUGACGCCUGCCCGGUGCCGGAAGGUUAAUUGAUGGGGUUAGCCGCAAGGCGAAGCUCUUGAUCGAAGCCCCGGUAAACGGCGGCCGUAACUAUAACGGUCCUAAGGUAGCGAAAUUCCUUGUCGGGUAAGUUCCGACCUGCACGAAUGGCGUAAUGAUGGCCAGGCUGUCUCCACCCGAGACUCAGUGAAAUUGAACUCGCUGUGAAGAUGCAGUGUACCCGCGGCAAGACGGAAAGACCCCGUGAACCUUUACUAUAGCUUGACACUGAACAUUGAGCCUUGAUGUGUAGGAUAGGUGGGAGGCUUAGAAGUGUGGACGCCAGUCUGCAUGGAGCCGACCUUGAAAUACCACCCUUUAAUGUUUGAUGUUCUAACGUUGACCCGUAAUCCGGGUUGCGGACAGUGUCUGGUGGGUAGUUUGACUGGGGCGGUCUCCUCCUAAAGAGUAACGGAGGAGCACGAAGGUUGGCUAAUCCUGGUCGGACAUCAGGAGGUUAGUGCAAUGGCAUAAGCCAGCUUGACUGCGAGCGUGACGGCGCGAGCAGGUGCGAAAGCAGGUCAUAGUGAUCCGGUGGUUCUGAAUGGAAGGGCCAUCGCUCAACGGAUAAAAGGUACUCCGGGGAUAACAGGCUGAUACCGCCCAAGAGUUCAUAUCGACGGCGGUGUUUGGCACCUCGAUGUCGGCUCAUCACAUCCUGGGGCUGAAGUAGGUCCCAAGGGUAUGGCUGUUCGCCAUUUAAAGUGGUACGCGAGCUGGGUUUAGAACGUCGUGAGACAGUUCGGUCCCUAUCUGCCGUGGGCGCUGGAGAACUGAGGGGGGCUGCUCCUAGUACGAGAGGACCGGAGUGGACGCAUCACUGGUGUUCGGGUUGUCAUGCCAAUGGCACUGCCCGGUAGCUAAAUGCGGAAGAGAUAAGUGCUGAAAGCAUCUAAGCACGAAACUUGCCCCGAGAUGAGUUCUCCCUGACUCCUUGAGAGUCCUGAAGGAACGUUGAAGACGACGACGUUGAUAGGCCGGGUGUGUAAGCGCAGCGAUGCGUUGAGCUAACCGGUACUAAUG
rnacentral:rRNA from 1 species